rnacentral:rRNA from 1 species
GAUGUACGCUGGCGGCGUGCCUAAUACAUGCAAGUCGAGCGAAGCGGGGACGGGUAAGGCACACGUGGAUAACCUACUAUGAGACUGGGAUCAAUUCGGGAAAACGGAGCUCAACCGGAUACUCAUACAUGGUACCGCGUUGGAUUAGUUAGUUGGUAAGGUAACGGCUUACCAAGGCAACGAUGCAUAGCCGACCAGAGCGGGUGAUAUGCCACACUGGAACUAAGACACGGUCCAUAGUCCUACGGGCGGCAGCAGUAGGUAAUCUUCCGCAAGGGGCGAAAGCCGGACGCAGCAACGCCGCGGGAGUGAUGAAGGUCUUCGGAUCGUAAAACACUGUAAUUAGGGAAGCGUGACCUACUGAGAAAGCCACGGCUAACUACGUGCCAGCAGCCGCGGUAAUAC